rnacentral:rRNA from 1 species
UGAGGAACAUGACCUUCGGCGGGGGAUAGCCGGCCCAACGGCCGGGUAAUACCGCGUACGACCUUUCGGGGACAUCCUCGGAUGGUGAAAGCAGCAAUGCGCCGAUGGAGUGCCUCGCGGCCUAUCAGCUAGUUGGUGAGGUAACGGCUCACCAAGGCAACGACGGGUAGCUGGUCUGAGAGGAUGGCCAGCCACAUUGGGACUGAGACACGGCCCAGACCUCCGUACGGGGAGCAGG